ACUACGGGUGGCUGCAGUGGGGAAUAUUGGGCAAUGGAGGAAACUCUGAACCAGCAAUGCCGCGUGAAUGAAGAAGGUCUUCGGAUUGUAAAGUUCUUUAGUCAGGGAAGUAUAAAAUGACGGUACCUGAAUAAUAAGCUCCGGCUAACUACGUGCCAGCAGCCGCUGGAAUACGGAGGGAGCAAGCGUGGUUCGGAAUGACUGGGCGUAAAGGGUGCGUAGGCGGUUAUGCAAAUUAGAAGGGAAAUACCCAGGGCUUAACUCGGGUGCUGCUUCUAAAACUGUAAGACUUGAGUGCAGUAGAGGUGAGUGGAAUUCCUGGUGUAGCGGUGGAAUGCGUAGAUAUCAGGAGGAACACCGGAUGCGAAGGCGGCUAACUGGACUGCAACUGACGCUGAGGCACGAAAGUGUGGGGAGCAAACAGGAUUAGAUACCCGAGUAGUC
rnacentral:rRNA from 1 species